CGAGUAACUUGGUUUAGCCUCUCCUAGGCUUUGUCUGUAUGAGAGGACAGAGACAUAGCCUAGAAUAGGUUAGGUCAGGACUCGUUC
rfam:Camponotus floridanus CamFlo_1.0_4.contig1841, whole genome shotgun sequence.